rnacentral:rRNA from 1 species
UACGGGGGGAGCAAGCGUUGUUCGGAAUCACUGGGCGUAAAGGGCGUCUAGGCGGUCAGAUAAGUGGGAUGUGAAAUGCCCCGGCUCACCCGGGGACCGGCAUCCCAAACUGUCUGGCUUGAGUAUGGGAGAGGAUGUGGGAAUUCCUGGUGUAGCGGUGAAAUGCGUAGAUAUCAGGAGGAACACCGGUGGCGAAGGCGCACAUCUGGCCCAAUACUGACGCUAAAGCGCGAAAGCUAGGGGAGCAAACGGGAUUAGAUACCCCGGUAGUCCUAGCCGUAAACGGUGAUCACUAGGUGUUGGAGGCAUCGACCCCUCCAGUGCCGCAGCUAACGCAUUAAGUGAUCCGCCUGGGGAGUACGGCCGCAAGGUUGAA